rnacentral:tRNA from 1 species
GCUUACUUGGUCUAAUGGUAAGAAUUACUCCAGUCGUUUAGAAACGAUUAAAGAUCUAACACAUCCUAGGUUAGGAUUCAACCCUUCCAAGGUUGAGGUUCGUGUUCGAUUCACGGAGUAAGCA